GAUGAACCCUUGCGGCGUGCCUAAUACAUGCAAGUCGAGCGAACAGACAAGGAGCUUGCUCCUUUGACGUUAGCGGCGGACGGGUGAGUAACACGUGGGUAACCUACCUAUAAGACUGGGAUAACUUCGGGAAACCGGAGCUAAUACCGGAUAAUAUUUCGAACCGCAUGGUUCGAUAGUGAAAGAUGGUUUUGCUAUCACUUAUAGAUGGACCCGCGCCGUAUUAGCUAGUUGGUAAGGUAACGGCUUACCAAGGCGACGAUACGUAGCCGACCUGAGAGGGUGAUCGGCCACACUGGAACUGAGACACGGUCCAGACUCCUACGGGAGGCAGCAGUAGGGAAUCUUCCGCAAUGGGCGAAAGCCUGACGGAGCAACGCCGCGUGAGUGAUGAAGGUCUUCGGAUCGUAAAACUCUGUUAUUAGGGAAGAACAUACGUGUAAGUAACUAUGCACGUCUUGACGGUACCUAAUCAGAAAGCCACGGCUAACUACGUGCCAGCAGCCGCGGUAAUACGUAGGUGGCAAGCGUUAUCCGGAAUUAUUGGGCGUAAAGCGCGCGUAGGCGGUUUUUUAAGUCUGAUGUGAAAGCCCACGGCUCAACCGUGGAGGGUCAUUGGAAACUGUAAAACUUGAGUGCAGAAGAGGAAAGUGGAAUUCCAUGUGUAGCGGUGAAAUGCGCAGAGAUAUGGAGGAACACCAGUGGCGAAGGCGACUUUCUGGUCUGUAACUGACGCUGAUGUGCGAAAGCGUGGGGAUCAAACAGGAUUAGAUACCCUGGUAGUCCACGCCGUAAACGAUGAGUGCUAAGUGUUAGGGGGUUUCCGCCCCUUAGUGCUGCAGCUAACGCAUUAAGCACUCCGCCUGGGGAGUACGACCGCAAGGUUGAAACUCAAAGGAAUUGACGGGGACCCGCACAAGCGGUGGAGCAUGUGGUUUAAUUCGAAGCAACGCGAAGAACCUUACCAAAUCUUGACAUCCUUUGACAACUCUAGAGAUAGAGCCUUCCCCUUCGGGGGACAAAGUGACAGGUGGUGCAUGGUUGUCGUCAGCUCGUGUCGUGAGAUGUUGGGUUAAGUCCCGCAACGAGCGCAACCCUUAAGCUUAGUUGCCAUCAUUAAGUUGGGCACUCUAAGUUGACUGCCGGUGACAAACCGGGGGAAGGUGGGGAUGACGUCAAAUCAUCAUGCCCCUUAUGAUUUGGGCUACACACGUGCUACAAUGGACAAUACAAAGGGCAGCGAAACCGCGAGGUCAAGCAAAUCCCAUAAAGUCGUUCUCAGUUCGGAUUGUAGUCUGCAACUCGACUACAUGAAGCUGGAAUCGCUAGUAAUCGUAGAUCAGCAUGCUACGGUGAAUACGUUCCCGGGUCU
rnacentral:rRNA from 1 species